GGGGUGCUCGAGUGGCGAACGGGUGAGUAACACGUGAGUAACCUGCCCUUGACUUUGGGAUAACUUCAGGAAACUGGGGCUAAUACCGGAUAGGAGCUCCUGCUGCAUGGUGGGGGUUGGAAAGUUUCGGCGGUUGGGGAUGGACUCGCGGCUUAUCGGCUUGUUGGUGGGGUAGUGGCUUACCAAGGCUUUGACGGGUAGCCGGCCUGAGAGGGUGACCGGCCACAUUGGGACUGAGAUACGGCCCAG
rnacentral:rRNA from 1 species